rnacentral:rRNA from 1 species
CGAAUGGAUUAAGAGCUUGCUCUUAUGAAGUUAGCGGCGGACGGGUGAGUAACACGUGGGUAACCUGCCCAUAAGACUGGGAUAACUCCGGGAAACCGGGGCUAAUACCGGAUAACAUUUUGAACCGCAUGGUUCGAAAUUGAAAGGCGGCUUCGGCUGUCACUUAUGGAUGGACCCGCGUCGCAUUAGCUAGUUGGUGAGGUAACGGCUCACCAAGGCAACGAUGCGUAGCCGACCUGAGAGGGUGAUCGGCCACACUGGGACUGAGACACGGCCCAGACUCCUACGGGAGGCAGCAGUAGGGAAUCUUCCGCAAUGGACGAAAGUCUGACGGAGCAACGCCGCGUGAGUGAUGAAGGCUUUCGGGUCGUAAAACUCUGUUGUUAGGGAAGAACAAGUGCUAGUUGAAUAAGCUGGCACCUUGACGGUACCUAACCAGAAAGCCACGGCUAACUA